rnacentral:rRNA from 1 species
UACGAAGGGGGCUAGCGUUGUUCGGAAUCACUGGGCGUAAAGCGCACGUAGGCGGAUCUUUAAGUCAGGGUGAAAUCCCGAGGCUCAACCUCGGAACUGCCUUUGAUACUGGGGAUCUCGAGUCCGGGAGAGGUGAGUGGAACUGCGAGUGUAGAGGUGAAAUUCGUAGAUAUUCGCAAGAACACCAGUGGCGAAGGCGGCUCACUGGCCCGGAACUGACGCUGAGGUGCGAAAGCGUGGGGAGCAAACAGG